rnacentral:rRNA from 1 species
GACGAACGCUGGCGGCGUGCUUAACACAUGCAAGUCGAACGGAAAGGCCCUGCUUUUGUGGGUUUCUCGAGUGGCGAACGGGUGAGUAACACGUGAGUAACCUGCCCUUGACGUUGGGAUAACUUCAGGAAACUGGGGCUAAUACCGGGUAGGAGCUUCUGCUGCAUGGUGGGGGUAGGAAAGUUGCGGCGUUGGGGGAUGUACUCGCGGGUUAUACGCUUGUUGGGGGGGUAGGGACUUACGAGGCUUUUGACGGGUAGCCGGCAUGGGCGGGGUACCGGCCACCUGGGGACUGCGAUACGCACCAGUAGCCUACGGGACGCAGCAGUGGGGAAUAUGGCACAAUGGGGGGAAGUCUGAUGCAGCAACGUCGGGUGCGGGAUGCCGGGCUUCGGGUUGUAAACCGCUUUCGACUGUGACGAAGCGUGAGUGACGGUACUGGGUAAAGAAGCACCGGCUAACUACGUG